GCGGACGUGGUGGAAUUGGUAGACACACUGGAUUUAGGUUCCAGCGCCGCAAGGCGUGAGAGUUCGAGUCUCUCCGUUCGCACCA
rnacentral:tRNA from 1 species